ACUUGGAUAACCGUAGUAAUUCUAGAGCUAAUACAUGCUAAAAGCCCCGACUUUUUCGGAAGGGGUGCAUUUAUUAGAUCCAAAACCAAUGAGUGGGGGCAACUUCACUCCUCUUGAUGAUUCAUGAUAACUUUGCGAAUCGCAUAGCCUUGAGCUGGCGAUGAUUCAUUCAAAUUUCUGCCCUAUCAACUUUCGAUGGUAGUGUAGUGGACUACCAUGGUGAUAACGGGUAACGGAGAAUUAGGGUUCGAUUCCGGAGACGGUGCCUGAGAGAUGGCAACGACUUCCAAGGAAGGCAGCAGGCGCGCAAAUUACCCAAUCCGAAUACCGGGAGGUAGUGACAAUAAAUAACAAUACCGGUCCUAAAAAGGGCUGGUAAUUGGAAUGAGUACAAUUUAAACCCCUUAACAAGGAACAAUUGGAGGACAAGUCUGGUGCCAGCACCCGCGGUAAUUCCAGCUCCAAUAGCGUAUAUUAAAGUUGUUGCAGUUAAAAAGCUCGUAGUUGGAUUUUGGGGUGCGUUGGUUCCAUCUGCCCUUAACUGGGUGGGUGGAUACCUCCCGCUCGUUUACUUUGAAAAAAUUAGAGUGUUUAAAGCAGACGGUCUCCGCCACUGAAUACAUUAGCAUGGGAUAAUGGAAUAGGAUUGUCUUUCCGAUUUCGUUGGUUUCCGGAAUGGACGAUAAUGAUUAAUAGAGAUAGUUGGGGACAUUUAUAUUCCAUGGUCAGAGGUGAAAUUCUUGGAUUCAUGGAAGAUAAACAAGUGCGAAAGCAUUUGUCAAGGAUGUUUUCAUUAAUCAAGAACGAAAGUUAGGGGAUCGAAGACGAUCAGAUACCGUCGUAGUCUUAACCAUAAACGAUGCGGACAGGGAUUGGGAGACGUUACGUGGAUGACUCCCCCAGCACCUUAUGAGAAAUCAUAAGUCUUUGCGUUCCGGGGGGAGUAUGGUCGCAAGGCUGAAACUUAAAGGAAUUGACGGAAGGGCACCACCAGGAGUGGAGCCUGCGGCUUAAUUUGACCCAACACGGGGAAACUCACCAGGUCCAGACAUAGUAAGGAUUGACAGAUUGAGAGCUCUUUCUUGAUUCUAUGGGUGGUGGUGCAUGGCCGUUCUUAGUUGGUGGAGUGAUUUGUCUGGUUAAUUCCGAUAACGAACGAGACCUCAGCCUGCUAACUAGUGGGUUCAACCUUCUAUACGGGUGAAGGCUGUAACUUGGAAGGUUCCUUCGUGUUCCUUUCAUUGCAGUUGGAUCCUUGACGAGUUGGAUCUCAUAACAUUGGCGUAAAAAGCCGAUACUUCUUAGAGGGACUAUUCGCGUCUAGUGAAUGGAAGUUUGAGGCAAUAACAGGUCUGUGAUGCCCUUAGAUGUUCUGGGCUGCACG
rnacentral:rRNA from 1 species